UGUUGAGGCAGGAACCAUCAACAGAUGCUUGAAUUAGGGGAAAAAGUGCAAUGACAACAGGAUGUGUGUGUAGUCCCAAAGUAUCUCCCCACCAUAUACUUAUUAAUUAAAGAGGGAAACAUGUUUACUUGGCAGUGGAGAGGUCUGACAGAUACUGCCUUAGCCAAGAGAUGAGGGCUAACAUCACCAGUAAUAUCAACAUCAUGAUACCCAGACAUAAUACUCUGAAAAGUGCACAUCAUUUCUGUGACACUCUUGUCUGAAAUGCAAAUCUUCCUUUUAAUUGGAAGCAUCUAAUGAGGAAACAUCAGAUAAACCCAAUCGAGGGGGGCAUUUUGCAAAAUAACAGUACUCUUCAAAAGUGUCCAAGUCACAAAAAACAAAGACAGACUCAGGAGUUGCCACAGCCUGGAGAGGGCUAAGGAAAAAUAACGAAUGCAAUUUGAGAGCCUGGAUAGGUUCCUGUAACAGAAAGAGAAAUCAGUUGAAAAACAACUAUUGAAGUUGCAGCAGGAUCUGCAGAUUAGCUAAUAGUAUCGUAUCCAUAAUAAUUUCGUGGUGUCAAUUGCGCAACGGUUAUGUAAGAUCCUAACAUUAGAGGAAGGUGGCGGAAGCAUGCGUGGAAAAUCUUUGUACUGUUUUGCAAUUUUUCACUUCGCUGCUGCAGUGGCUCACACCUGCAAUCCCAGUACUUUGAGGGGCCAAUGGGGGAGCAUCGCUUGAGCCCAGGAGUUAGAGGUUACAGUGAGCUAUGAUGGCACCAUUGCACGGCAGCUUGGGGGAUGGAGCAAGACUGUCUCUAGAAAUAAUAAUGAAUAAACAUAAAAAAGAUCUUUGGGUCUAGAUUACUUUUUAACCUGAACAUUUCUGCAUCUUUCUUGGUCUUUCAUGAUUUAGACACUUUUGAAGAGUACUGAGGAGAAGAUGCAGAGGAGAACCAGCAGCUUGGAGAAUAAAGAAAUGGAGCGAACCCAGGAGGGCAUUCUCAUUCUGACACAAUCAUCAGUGACACAAAACUGCCUUGUGAGGAAAGAGAAGCAAACAGAUGUGUAUGAAGAUCACAGUGUGGACCCCAGACUUCCAGGCAGCCCCAGUGAUGCUUGCUUCCAGGUGAGGCCAGCUCCUAUCGUGAGGACACUGAAGCUGCCCUCUGGAAAAGACCCCACACUGAGGACUCUCACCAACAGUCAGCACCAGCUGCCAGUAAUAUGAGCAAAGCAUCUUGGGAAUGGCUCCCCCAUCCCUAGCCAAGCAUUCAGAUGACUUCAGCCCCAGCUGACACCUUGGCUGAAACCUCAAGAGAGACCUGAAGUGAGACUCUGCUCCAAAAAUCCUAGACAGAUAAUAAACUUUUGUUGGUUUUGAAUCA
rnacentral:lncRNA from 13 species